GGUUAAGCGACUAAGCGUACACGGUGGAUGCCCUGGCAGUCAGAGGCGAUGAAGGACGUGCUAAUCUGCGAAAAGCGUCGGUAAGGUGAUAUGAACCGUUAUAACCGGCGAUGUCCGAAUGGGGAAACCCAGUGUGAUUCGUCACACUAUCGUUAACUGAAUACAUAGGUUAACGAGGCGAACCGGGGGAACUGAAACAUCUAAGUACCCCGAGGAAAAGAAAUCAACCGAGAUUCCCCCAGUAGCGGCGAGCGAACGGGGAGCAGCCCAGAGUCUGAAUCAGCUUGUGUGUUAGUGGAACGGUCUGGAAAGUCCGACGGUACAGGGUGAUAGUCCCGUACACCAAAAUGCACAGGCUGUGAACUCGAAGAGUAGGGCGGGACACGUGGUAUCCUGUCUGAAUAUGGGGGGACCAUCCUCCAAGGCUAAAUACUCCUGACUGACCGAUAGUGAACCAGUACCGUGAGGGAAAGGCGAAAAGAACCCCGGCGAGGGGAGUGAAAAAGAACCUGAAACCGUGUACGUACAAGCAGUGGGAGCACCUUCGGGUGUGACUGCGUACCUUUUGUAUAAUGGGUCAGCGACUUAUAUUCUGUAGCAAGGUUAACCGUAUAGGGGAGCCGCAGGGAAACCGAGUCUUAACUGGGCGUUAAGUUGCAGGGUAUAGACCCGAAACCCGGUGAUCUAGCCAUGGGCAGGUUGAAGGUUGGGUAACACUAACUGGAGGACCGAACCGACUAAUGUUGAAAAAUUAGCGGAUGACUUGUGGCUGGGGGUGAAAGGCCAAUCAAACCGGGAGAUAGCUGGUUCUCCCCGAAAGCUAUUUAGGUAGCGCCUCGUGAAUUCAUCUUCGGGGGUAGAGCACUGUUUCGGCUAGGGGGUCAUCCCGACUUACCAACCCGAUGCAAACUACGAAUACCGAAGAAUGUUAUCACGGGAGACACACGGCGGGUGCUAACGUCCGUCGUGAAGAGGGAAACAACCCAGACCGCCAGCUAAGGUCCCAAAGUCAUGGUUAAGUGGGAAACGAUGUGGGAAGGCACAGACAGCCAGGAUGUUGGCUUAGAAGCAGCCAUCAUUUAAAGAAAGCGUAAUAGCUCACUGGUCGAGUCGGCCUGCGCGGAAGAUGUAACGGGGCUAAACCAUGCACCGAAGCUGCGGCAGCGACGCUUAUGCGUUGUUGGGUAGGGGAGCGUUCUGUAAGCCUGCGAAGGUGGCCUGUGAGGGUUGCUGGAGGUAUCAGAAGUGCGAAUGCUGACAUAAGUAACGAUAAAGCGGGUGAAAAGCCCGCUCGCCGGAAGACCAAGGGUUCCUGUCCAACGUUAAUCGGGGCAGGGUGAGUCGACCCCUAAGGCGAGGCCGAAAGGCGUAGUCGAUGGGAAACAGGUUAAUAUUCCUGUACUUGGUGUUACUGCGAAGGGGGGACGGAGAAGGCUAUGUUAGCCGGGCGACGGUUGUCCCGGUUUAAGCAUGUAGGCUGGUUAUCCAGGCAAAUCCGGAUAAUCAAGGCUGAGGUGUGAUGACGAGGCACUACGGUGCUGAAGUAACAAAUGCCCUGCUUCCAGGAAAAGCCUCUAAGCAUCAGGUAACAUCAAAUCGUACCCCAAACCGACACAGGUGGUCAGGUAGAGAAUACCAAGGCGCUUGAGAGAACUCGGGUGAAGGAACUAGGCAAAAUGGUGCCGUAACUUCGGGAGAAGGCACGCUGGUGUGUAGGUGAAGUCCCUGCGGAUGGAGCUGAGACCAGUCGAAGAUACCAGCUGGCUGCAACUGUUUAUUAAAAACACAGCACUGUGCAAACACGAAAGUGGACGUAUACGGUGUGACGCCUGCCCGGUGCCGGAAGGUUAAUUGAUGGGGUUAUCCGUAAGGAGAAGCUCUUGAUCGAAGCCCCGGUAAACGGCGGCCGUAACUAUAACGGUCCUAAGGUAGCGAAAUUCCUUGUCGGGUAAGUUCCGACCUGCACGAAUGGCGUAAUGAUGGCCGGGCUGUCUCCACCCGAGACUCAGUGAAAUUGAACUCGCUGUGAAGAUGCAGUGUACCCGCGGCAAGACGGAAAGACCCCGUGAACCUUUACUAUAGCUUGACACUGAACAUUGAGCCUUGAUGUGUAGGAUAGGUGGGAGGCUUUGAAGCGUGGACGCCAGUCUGCGUGGAGCCAACCUUGAAAUACCACCCUUUAAUGUUUGAUGUUCUAACGUUGGCCCCUUAUCGGGGUUGCGGACAGUGUCUGGUGGGUAGUUUGACUGGGGCGGUCUCCUCCCAAAGCGUAACGGAGGAGCACGAAGGUUAGCUAAUCCUGGUCGGACAUCAGGAGGUUAGUGCAAUGGCAUAAGCUAGCUUGACUGCGAGCGUGACGGCGCGAGCAGGUGCGAAAGCAGGUCAUAGUGAUCCGGUGGUUCUGAAUGGAAGGGCCAUCGCUCAACGGAUAAAAGGUACUCCGGGGAUAACAGGCUGAUACCGCCCAAGAGUUCAUAUCGACGGCGGUGUUUGGCACCUCGAUGUCGGCUCAUCACAUCCUGGGGCUGAAGUAGGUCCCAAGGGUAUGGCUGUUCGCCAUUUAAAGUGGUACGCGAGCUGGGUUUAGAACGUCGUGAGACAGUUCGGUCCCUAUCUGCCGUGGGCGCUGGAGAAUUGAGGGGGGCUGCUCCUAGUACGAGAGGACCGGAGUGGACGCAUCACUGGUGUUCGGGUUGUCAUGCCAAUGGCACUGCCCGGUAGCUAAAUGCGGAAGAGAUAAGUGCUGAAAGCAUCUAAGCACGAAACUUGCCCCGAGAUGAGUUCUCCCUGAGACUUUAAGUCUCCUGAAGGAACGUUGAAGACGACGACGUUGAUAGGCCGGGUGUGUAAGCGCAGCGAUGCGUUGAGCUAACCGGUACUAAUGAACCGUGAGGCUUAACCUU
rnacentral:rRNA from 1 species